GUUUGAUCCUGGCUCAGAACGAACGCUGGCGGCAGGCCUAACACAUGCAAGUCGAGCGCACCUUCGGGUGAGCGGCGGACGGGUGAGUAACGCGUGGGAAUAUGCCCUUUGGUACGGAAUAGUCCUGGGAAACUGGGGGUAAUACCGUAUGCGCCCUUCGGGGGAAAGAUUUAUCGCCAAAGGAUUAGCCCGCGUUGGAUUAGGUAGUUGGUGGGGUAAUGGCCUACCAAGCCGACGAUCCAUAGCUGGUUUGAGAGGAUGAUCAGCCACACUGGGACUGAGACACGGCCCAGACUCCUACGGGAGGCAGCAGUGGGGAAUCUUAGACAAUGGGGGCAACCCUGAUCUAGCCAUGCCGCGUGAGUGAUGAAGGCCCUAGGGUUGUAAAGCUCUUUCAGCUGGGAAGAUAAUGACGGUACCAGCAGAAGAAGCCCCGGCUAACUCCGUGCCAGCAGCCGCGGUAAUACGGAGGGGGCUAGCGUUGUUCGGAAUUACUGGGCGUAAAGCGCACGUAGGCGGACCGGAAAGUUGGGGGUGAAAUCCCGGGGCUCAACCCCGGAACUGCCUUCAAAACUAUCGGUCUGGAGUUCGAGAGAGGUGAGUGGAAUUCCGAGUGUAGAGGUGAAAUUCGUAGAUAUUCGGAGGAACACCAGUGGCGAAGGCGGCUCACUGGCUCGAUACUGACGCUGAG
rnacentral:rRNA from 1 species